CACUUUUCUGUAGAUGCCUGAUGUUGGGAAUCAUCGCGGAGGAUGAAUUGGAGGAGGACAAGAAGACAGCAGAGGAAGUGGAAGGGACACACUUAAGAGAUUGGAUUAUCAAUCUCCAUCUCUGAUGAGGUCAACAGCUUGGACUUAGCAAGAAAUGACUGUAUUCUGCACACUACUUAAGGCUACAAUCAGGAAGGAUGCAUCCUCCUCUUUUCCUUGCCAUUCAGUCACCCCAGUCUGAAGGCUCUGCUCUUACGUGCAGUGGUCUGAAAAUAUCCAGGUUUCAUGAUCAAAUCUUGGAACCCUCAGCGUAGCUGAUGCUCCCUGACUGAUGAUCAACAGCAACACA